UCGUUAGGUGUACGUCGGUACAACAAAAUUGUGACAAAUAUCCGUCACGCCUCACGCUGUUAAUAUAAUAUUAAUGUUAUUCGACAACAAGACGGUUAAGUUAAAUACACCGGAAGACCAUUAAAUUUACUUUUGCCGGUCUUUUGUAGUAUUAUUUUUUAAUUCAAAACCCCUCUCAGUAUUAUUAUACGGUUAUAUUAUUAUUAUACGUAGUCUUGUAUUUUACGUUCAAAAUGUUUUGC